GGAAUGUUUGGUCAGAGAUUGUGGGUCUCUGGGUAUUAUGGUUAUCAGCUUGACUAAAUCUGGAAUCAACUAACAGGCAAGCUGCUAGACGUUCCUGUGAGGGAUUUUUCUUCUCCCAUUAAGGCAGAAGUCUCACCCUAACUGUAGAUGGCACCUUCUGGUGGCAGCCCAGAUAAAGGGAUGUGGAAGAAGGAAACCCUGCUUUUCCUUGCCUGCUCUCUCUCUCUUGGUAAAGUUCAUCUACCCUGCUUUCACUGAUUUCUUCGCUGCUACUAAAAGCAGCUUCUUUGGUCUCCUGGUGCAGGCUGAAGAGCAGCAGCCGUCAGGGAGCCUCCAGGUCUGGAGAACACCAGGUUGGGACGGCUGAGGCAUCUGCUUUGGGGACUGAGCAACCGCAGGAGCAAGUCACCCCUCUAUUAGUUCUAUUCUUAUAGAGAACCCCGACUAAUACAGACUACUGUGGCCCCAAGAGUGGGUUUUAAAAAGAGAGAAUUGUAAGGAUGACUUGAUGGUAUCUGGAGCUAGGUCUCCAGCUCAACAGAAGAUUCCUAAAGAUUCUCCUGGUAUCAUGCAGGGCACUGAAAGCCCGUGGUGCAAACCCUUUAAAUCACUAUGCAAGAUAAAUGCGUUAGAUACUCCUGGUUCAUCUCUUGUGAGGAGCAAAGAAUUUGCGGAUCUGCAUUUAAAACUUUUGACUGGGGCUAAAGAGAUGGCUCAGUGGUUAAGAGUACUGUCUGCUCUUCCAGAGGUCCCGAGUUCAAUUCCCAGCUCGCACAUGAUGGCUCCCAACCAUCUAUAAUGUGAUCUGAUGCCCUCUUCUGGCCUGCAGGUGUAUGUGCAGAUAGAGCACACACAUACAUAUACAUAUACAUAUACAUAUACAUAUACAUAUACAUAUACAUAUAUAAACAUUUUUUAAAAAUCUUAUGACCAUUUGUGGGAAAGCGAAGAAUAAUGUCGACUAGUUAUUUCUAUUAUCUCUGGAUAAAGUGAAAAAGGAAAUAAUAUGUUCAGUGAUUAAAAAUAAGUAAAUAACUGGCUCCGUCCGUCGCUCUGGAAAAGAAUCUUUUCUCCUCCAGCAGCCACAGUGUUCACGUUGCCAAAAAGCAAACGAAAACUAAAACCCUCACCAUACAAUUAUCCAACUUAAACAAAACUGCAGUCCAGCCUUGGAGGGUGUCAGCAGCUAAACUGAGGGUACCGCUUACUAAAGAACGGGACCCUUGAACUUGUGUGGGAGAACUCUGAGGGGGCUGGGGCUCCUGAACUCUCAGUCUGAUGGGUUCAUUUUGGCUGAGGAAAUCAUCUUGAUUAGAAGAAAUGUGAUUGCUUAGCGAUUUUCGAGCUUGUCAAUGUAACAACCACAGCACUUCUCUUAAAGGGAUGAAGAGAGAAUUUAUUCUGGAGCCAUUGUGACUGACCAUGGCCAGGGAACACAGAUUUCUGUUGCACCAAUUUUCCAUGUUCCAAUGUGGAAGCAAUUUCACAUAUUUUUGUUUUGUUUUUGUUUUUAAAUAGUAUUACAGAAUAAUGAAAGUCAUAAGUCAUAAAUCAAGGCAACUUUAAAAUACAUUGGUGGGUACACCAGAGAGGUGGGCACAAGAUGUGGGGAGCUAGUCUCUAGGCCCAAGAUGUGAGCUGACGAAUUCUUAGCUCAUGGAUUGAUGGAAGCCAGUGAUCUGCUAAUAGCUUCUAAGAGGUUUUAACUUAGCACAAGGAGGUAGUGCAGAUACAGAGUGAGGCAAGGAAUAUAACUCUUCCAGAAGGUUAAAACUAGCCCAAGGUAAAUUAGCCACUGAAUCUAAAAAAUUCCAGUUUCUCAUAGGUACUGAAACCCAGUCAUUCCAUCAGUCUCUGCAGAUAUGAUGCUUUCUAAGAGUUAUUUUUCAUUUUGUUUUUGUUUUCACAGUCAGUCAUAGCUUUACACAUACAUAUAUAUACACACACACACAUGAGUUUUCUGUUUGCAUGUAUGCCUGCAUGCCAAAAGACAGCAUCAGAUCCCAUUAUAGAUGGUUGUGAGCCACCUUGUGGUUGCUGGGACUUGAACUCAGGAUUGCUGGAAGACCAAGCCAGUGCUCUCAACCACUGAGCCAUCUCUCCAGCCCUAUCAGCCAUAACUCCUUUUCAGGAAUUUUCUCAUUCACAGGCUGUAGCCAAGGGACUUGAAAAGAGCAUGACUGAAAACUUGGUAAGAAAGACAUUGAGGAAAGAAGUUUUUCCAGUGUGUCUCUCCAAACUGACAAAGGCUGUGAAGAUACAUGUGUCUCAUACAGAUGUUCAUCCGAAGGUCACUUCUGCAGAGGAAGAGUUCAGUAAUCAAGGAGUUAGGACGACCCACUUGAUGAAGAGUCAGCUUCUCAGUUACCUUUCUAUUACCGCGACAAAACACCAUGACCGACUUAUAUAAGAAAGACUGGAGUCCAUGAGCACUGGGCUGGGAACAAGGCAGCGGGCAGCAGGUGUAGUGCUGGAGCAGGAGCUGAGCGCUUGCAUCUGAUCCACAGGCAGAAUGCAGAGAGCACCAGCUUGAAGCCCACCUGCAGUGACGCACCUCCCCCAACAAGGGCACGCCUUCUAACCCUCACCAAAUAGUUCUAGCAACUGGGGACCAAGCCUUUAGACAGCCAGGUUCAGGGUCAUUCUCAGUCAAACGACCACAGCUUCUUUCUCAGGCCGUCCUUGUCCUUGCCCAAUAGACCCAUGAACAAAGUGGCCAUGGGGGCAGAGGUGGAAGCUAUGCAUGCAUCCAAAAACAUAGACUCCCGCUCACCCUGGCUAACCUAGCUAGGGCUCCUGCUGAGUGCCAGAUCUGCCAACAGCAGAGGUGAACAGUGAGCCCUCUGUAAGGCACUGGGGGACAGCUACAGGGAUGUAGGGAGACAGGGAAAGAAAGAACGGGCUCCCCAGGGUGACAGCUUCUCUUCUCAGAAGCCAUUUCAAGAAGAGACAGUAGGAAGGUGCAGCAUGUGGUAGGAACAUAAGCAAAACCGUUCUGUGACACUUAAAAAAAAACAUCUUGUGUCACUUGGCAUAAUGUAAUGCCUGUAAGAAGCUUGCCACCAGCAGCUUCAGUAAAAGCUCGGCGUCAGAAGCAAGUUGUGACGUGGUAAUGGACUGACAACAUGGCCGCUCAGAUACAGCUAAGCCCAAGACAGCCCUUCCUGUGCUAAUGAACUAACUCCAAGGUAGCACCGAUUUGCUGGUGAACUAGCCCCAAGCUGUGAACGCUGAUAAGGCGAAGCUACCGCCCAAUGAUACGACGAAAAUUGGACCUUUGGGAAAGGUCUCCAGGAUCGCUAUGCCACGCCCUUGAGACACAGCUUUUUAGCCUCCAUGUUGCUGCCCAUCGGCGAGAAGCCUUGAGAUUGGCCUCUGUGUGUGGUGGCCUGGCUUCAGUGACUGUUGAAUUUGCACCAUCGCUGGACUCACCCACGCCCACUUGUCAGUGUUAGCUGCUGGCCGACACUCUCAGGGACCUCCUGGGCCUCCAUUGGUGCCAUCCCCACAGCCUGCCACAGCUGAAGGACUUCAUGGCGGAUGUGGUUUGGGCCUGCGAGCUUCUGAAGCAUCGUCACCAGAAAAGAUUACCCAGUGGAACCCUGCGGCAGCAUUUCUGUCCCAACAGCUGUUCCCCACUUGGUGAGACAUGCAAUUCUCUGUCCUACAAGACAAAGUCAGUGAUCCCCUAGGUGAACACCAGCACUCCAAUUACAGGACCAUCUGCCAGAGUGACCAAGCAGGGACCCCAUGGUAAGUUCACCCCAUUUUUCCAUUUCCACCCUGGAAGGGUAUCACUUUGCCCUUCCUUGAAUAGAUGCUUAUUCUGGUUAUGAAUCCGCCUUUCCUUCACUACCACACAUAUAGUAUUCUACACAACACUGCUUCUGACCAGGGAGCAAUAAGGCCCAAGAAGUACAGCAGUGGGCCCAGUUCAUGGAAUUGACUGGUUUUAUCAUUUUAUCAUGUCCCUGCCAUCCUGAAGAAUCUGGCUUGAUAGACCUAUGGGAAAAAUUAUUUUAAAUUUAUUUUAUUUUAUGUGUUUGGUGUGAGCAUGUCAGAUCCUCACAGUUGUGAGUCGACAGAGAAUUGAACCCAGGUCCUCUGGAAGAUGUGCUCUUAACCACUAAGCCAUCUUUCCAGGCUCAGAAAAAUCUUUUAAAAACACAGUACAGCAACAAUUAUGUGGCAAUAGCCUACAUGGCUGGGGCAGGGUUCUCCAGAGUCUGUAUAUGGUAGAUGGUACUGAUUUUCAUAUAGGCAAGAUGCAUGGGUCCAGGGAUCAAAGGAAACCAGAAUAGUUCCUCUCUUACUGUCAUGACUAGAAGUCCACUAGCAGAACUUGUCUUUCUUGUUUUCGUGACUUUGUGUUCUGCGAGCCAAAAGUUAUGCUCCAGAAGGACAGUGUGCUUCUGGCACGAGGCACAGCAAAUGCUCCAUUAAACUGGAAGCUAAGACUCCUCCUCUUUCUGGCCACUUGGGCUCCUCAUACCAUUGGACCAGUAGUCUAAAAAGGAACAACAGGACAUAUGAUUGACCCAGACUUCAAGGAAAAACUGGAUGCGUCUCCACAAUGGAGGUUGGCUGUUUAGUGGCCUAGAGCCAUCAGGAAUGAAGGUGCUGGUCACCCCUUCUUACAAAGAACCAAAAUCUGCUGAGAUGCCAGCUGAGGUUUAUAAUCCACCAUCCGGAGGAGUCAGGGAAGGAACUCAAGGCAAGAACCUGGAGACAGGAAUCGAUGCAGAGACUGUGGAGAGCAUGAUAUGAGGAGAAGUGGCCAGGUGUCAAGUUGACGAGAGGCAGACAUGUGAUGGAUAAUCAUGGUUGUCAAUUUAACUGGAUCGGAAACCAACCAGAAGGCAAGCUGCUGGACUCCUGGGAGGGUUUGAUGGAUAAUCAUGGUUGUCAAUUUAACUGGAUCGGAAACCAACCAGAAGGCAAGCUGCUGGACUCCUGGGAGGGAUUUUUCUCGGUCAGAUUAUUUGAAGCAGAAAGGCCCACCCUGUGUGUGGGUGCAGCCUUCUGGUGGCAGCCCUGAUAAAGUAAGCUCUGAAGAAGUAAGCUCUGCUUUCUCCUGCUUCCCUCCACUCUCCACACGCUCAGCUCUGCUGCUGCUGCUGCGUCCUCCCCUCAUAUCAGAGCAGGCUUCUUCAGGGGGAGGCAGCCAGCCAGCCUCUUGGACUCCGCCUCUCUGGUGUGAAGCAGCUGCUGUUGGCUACCUAGACCAUAUCAUGUAAUUCGGUCUAAUAAACACCUUCUUACUACA